AACGAACGCUGGCGGCAUGCCUAACACAUGCAAGUCGAACGAUGCUUUCGGGCAUAGUGGCGCACGGGUGCGUAACGCGUGGGAAUCUGCCCUGGGGUUCGGGAUAACAGCGGGAAACUGCUGCUAAUACCGGAUGAUAUCGCGAGAUCAAAGAUUUAUCGCACUGGGAUGAGCCCGCGUCGGAUUAGGUAGUUGGGGGGGUAAGAGCCUACCAAGCCGACGAUCCGUAGCUGGUCUGAGAGGAUGAUCAGCCACACUGGGACUGAGACACGGCCCAGACUCCUACGGGAGGCAGCAGUGGGGAAUAUUGGACAAUGGGCGCAAGCCUGAUCCAGCAAUGCCGCGUGAGUGAUGAAGGCCUUAGGGUUGUAAAGCUCUUUUACCCGGGAUGAUAAUGACAGUACCGGGAGAAUAAGCCCCGGCUAACUCCGUG
rnacentral:rRNA from 1 species